ensembl:lncRNA
CGCAGAGCCCGCCCGGAGCUGGCGCAUGCGCAGAGCCCGCCCGGAGCCGCUUGUUUUCCCGUCGCUCGAUGGGGUUUAAGUAUUGUUGGGACUCCUCUAAUUGGUGGUGUGAGGCCUGUGGAGCAGCUAAUGGAACUUCACGACUAUGCUGACUACACCAGGGUCUUACGGUCAUUUCUGUUUCACCAGCAGAUCUGGGUGGCAGCAGAGAGCUGCAGCGCUUCCGAGUGCUGUAACGACUGCACGGAGAGAAGUGCGGGUCUUCACGGGAACAGCAAGGAACCGAAAGCUGCAUUUCCUGGGAUGCCCUGGAACCCCACUUUGCUGACUGGUAAUUGCCUGCCCAGCAGGUGGCAGCAGAGAGCUGCAGCGCUUCCGAGUGCUGUAACGACUGCACGGAGAGAAGUGCGGGUCUUCACGGGAACAGCAAGGAACCGAAAGCUGCAUUUCCUGGGAUGCCCUGGAACCCCACUUUGCUGACUGGUAAUUGCCUGCCCAGCAGGUAAGGGCAAUGCAUACCCACCGGUGUUUACCCCUUACUGAGUGAGACACAAGGUAGGGUUCUCAGAGCUCCUUUCUGCGCUUCAGGGUGCCCCGAAGGCUGCCUGUCCUAUUCGUUGCACGUUCUCCUUGGCUCUGGCCUUUCACGGUGGUGUUCUCCUUCCCUUUGCCCUUGGCGUUCCCUACUGCAUUCUCUUGCCCUCCUGUUUUUGCAUUCCAUGUCAUGUUCUCUUGGCCAUUGCCCUUGGCCUUCUUUGUGGCAUUCUCUUCGGCCUCCAGUUUUGGCAUUCCCUGCAGUGUUCUCUUUGGCUAUCAGUUUUGGUGUUCCAUGCUGUGUUGUAUUUGGCCUUAGGUUUUUGCCACCCAUGCUAUGUUCUCCUGACCAUUGCAUUUGGCCUUCUUUGCCACAUUCUCUUUAGCCUUCAGUUUUGGCAUUCCCUUCCAUGUUGUCUUUUACCUUUGCCCUUGGCCUUCUUUGCCGUGGUCCUUUCAGCCUCCUGUUCUGGCAUUCUCUGUGACAAUCUCCUUGGCCAUUGGUUUUGGCAUUCCUUGUUGCGUUCUGUUUGGCCUUUGCCCUUGGCCUUCUUGUUUUGGCAUCCC